AGACAGUGCUUUUUCUUUUGUGGUUGGUUCGUUUUUCUAAUUGAGUUUUGAUUGGCUUGUUAAUCAUAAUUAUUACGAUAAUAAUGUUUAGAUUUGUUUGAAAUUACGAUCGAAUUAACUUUGAAUUUGUUCUUCUGUGGCCUUAUGCUUAUCUUCUGAGAUGGUCCUUUUUUUUUGUUUGGGUAUUUUUUCGGUUAUGCUGAACUCCCAAAAUGCUUAGAAGGUUUUAUGGGUUGCUUGAAUUUGUACAAGAUUUUUACCUAUUGCUUGGUUUGUGCAUUUUGCAAUUCUGUUUUGUUACUUUUUGUUUUUCUAUUUGCUUCCGAAGGAGAAGGAAUAUUUGAAUUUUGGUGUUCGGGUUCCACUAUAACCAUUAUUUUUUUUACUGAAAAAGAAAUGAAUUUUCUUUUUGGAUUAACCUUUUCUGGUAGUUGUUCAUGUAGCUGAGGUUUUCAGCAUUUUUAUUUGAGACUCUGGAUGAUUAGAGGCUUCUGUUUUGCUUAUCCAUCAUUGUUGGGUCAAGGCAUCUUUGCCUUUUGCUAUAUAUUGGAUUAAAUUGAAGACAGCCUGGCUUCAAUUAACAAUAUUUUUUUAAUCUUUCAAUUGUGGUUGCUUUUAUAAAUUUAAUCAUAUACGUUGUUUGAAACUUUAGCUCCUUUAGUCUUAUUCAUUUAUGCUCAUAUAGAUGCUCAGCAUAACCUUCUUUUUUUUAUAUAUCAGAAGAUGCUUAGCAUACUGUGUUUGAGUAGAUGGUCUUUGGGUAUUUGUGUUAUUGGACAGUUGAACCUAUUGGAUAAUGCUUUUUUUCCUUUUGUUUUGUGCACUUAUGGAUUCACAGUGUCCAGUUGUGUCUCCAAUUUUUCAUUUUUUUCCCUCAAUCAUGCUAGCGGAGAAGUAAUUUUCACAGAUAUAUGUACCUAAAUGCUUGUAGUAUCCAUAUGCUUUGAUUUUGGUCUCUCCCUUUGGGCAUAUUUCCAUCCGAAUACUAAGAAACCUCAAUUUUACUAAGAAACCUCAAUUUUGGAACAGAUAAUAUGGCUAUGGAACCAAGCUUCUACGAACAUGAGGUACACUUUGAAUCUGACGAAGAUGUUACACUUAAGCAGAAAUGGAAAUCCAUCACAACCCCAACAGGCAUCUCAGAUGUGGAUGGUGAUUGUUUUGAUUGCAACAUAUGCUUGGACUCACCACAUGAUCCUGUUAUCACUCUUUGUGGUCACCUGUAUUGCUGGCCAUGCAUUUACAAGUGGCUGCAUGUUAAAACUUCUGCCGCAGAUGCUUAUGAGCAGCAGCCAAGCUGCCCUGUUUGUAAGGCUAACAUUUCCCCAAAUUCAUUGGUGCCCCUUUAUGGUCGUGGUAAAUCCCGAACCAAUCUAGAAUCGAAGAAAGCUUCUCCAGAUUUAGUCAUACCCCAUAGGCCACCUCCUGCAUUGAAUACAUUGAUUAGUAACACUUCGCAACAGAGUCAGCAAUUUCAUCCAAAUUUCUUUCAGUCACAGCCACAACCACAGUCCUUUCAUCACCAGCAAUAUUUCCCUAACUCAUAUGGAGGAUAUGGGGCUAUGGCCUCAUCAAAUCUUGGUGGUGCGGCAAUGAGACAAAUUUUCAAUCCCAUCAUUGGGAUGUUUGGAGAGAUGAUGUUUGCAAGAAUUUUUGGGACAUCAGACACGAGUUUGUUUGCUUAUUCCUACCCAAAUUCUGACCAUCUGAUGAGAAGUUAUCGUCAUAGAAUGAGGAGGCAGGAGAUGCAGCUUGAAAAGUCUCUAAAUAGGGUGACGAUCUUUCUUUUUUGUUGCAUUAUCUUGUGUCUUCUAUUGUUCUGAUUAUAUUAGUUUUCAGCUUUUGUAUAUUUGUAUAGAGUAUUGCAUAGAAGCAAUUAAAAUAUUCACAGGGACAUAGAUGCGAUUAGAAAUUUUGCUGGGAACUCAGGUUGUGAGAUUUCCCUUGGGCAUUUUUGCAUGUAAAUUAAUAUUCUUUACACACAAUAUCCAUUAUUGCUAAUUAGUUUUAUUGAGCUCUAUUGUUGAA
rnacentral:misc_RNA from 1 species